GCCCCGCAUGCACUAGCUAUUUGUCCUGAUCUCCUUCCCCUCACCCCCCACAGGCCCUGGUGUGUGUUGUUCCCCUCCCUGUGUCCAUGUGUUCUCAUUGUUCAACUCCUACUUAUAAAUGAGAAUAUGCGGUGUUUGGUUUUCUGUUCCUGUGUUAGUUUGCUGAGGAUGAUGGCUUCCAGCUUCAUCCAUGUCCCUGAAAACGAACAAUGUAAAAGCAUUCCUAUUUCUCCACAGCCUCACCAGCAUCUCUUGUUUCUUGACUUUUUAAUAAUCACCAUUCUGACAGGUGUGAGAUAGUUUCUUAUUGUGGUUUUGAUUUGCAUUUCUCUAACAAUCAGUGAUGUUGAGCUUUUUUCAUAUGUUUGUUGGCCACAUAAAUGUCUUCCUUUGAUAUCAUACUUGGAAGUGUUUCAUACUCUCUAGUUCAUAAAUAACUUGUAGUUUCUGCUAUAUAUUACACUGCUUUAUUACAAAUUAACAAAUGAGAAACAAUU
rnacentral:lncRNA from 1 species